AAGUCGUAACAAGGUUUCCGUAGGUGAACCUGCGGAAGGAUCAUUAACGAAUAACUAUAGCGUUGGUUGUAGCUGGCUCCUCGGAGCAAUGUGCACGCCCGCCAUUUUUAUCUUUCCACCUGUGCACCGACUGUAGGUCUGGAUACCUCUCGCCUCCGGGCGGAUGCGAGGGUUGCUCGUAAGGGCUUCCCUUGAACUUCCAGGCUCUACGUCUUUUUACACACCCCAAUAGUAUGAUGCAGAAUGUAGUCAAUGGGCUUCUCAGCCUAUAAAACACUAUACAACUUUCAGCAACGGAUCUCUUGGCUCUC
rnacentral:misc_RNA from 1 species